rnacentral:lncRNA from 1 species
GGGGUUGAAACUAGGUGAUCAUUGUAGUCCUUUUCAACCCAGGCCAUUCUAGGAUUCUAUGAUUCUAUGAUUACAUGGUGAUACUGUUUAUUUAUUUGGAAAUGUGGUGAUAAUAUGAAGUCUUACUAAAUGCCAGAUGUCUAAUACUGAUUGCAUCAUUUAGAUUAAUGAUGCAGCUUAAUAAAUUUUAACUGUGUUUGUACUUGUAUAAGUGAAAUUGGAAGAAUGGGCAAGGAAAUGGCCAGUACAAUUUUCUAAAUAAUCCUUUAAAUGUGACUAUUUUGAACUCAGGAAAAAAAAUGCAUUUAACUUAGAUUUACACAUUAUUCUUCUAUUUUAUAAGUGUCUUCCUCUAUACAGCUUUGGGAGCAACAGUAAUGGCAGUGACACUAAAUAAUUAAUAACUGAAACAAGCAGUUCAUGAAUGCCUGGUAGACUGGAAUUCAUUUUUAUAGAAUCAACACUUUCAUAUCUGAGGGAUUUGUAGUGUCACUCUACCUCAUGACAUAGAAACAUGGAAGGAUCUCAGCUUUGAUUAAGGAUGAGACCUAGGACCACUGCAGCAUCUGGCAUCAUUCCUGACUUCCACGUGUUCAGGGAGAAUCAAAUGCUGCCUGCCCUGUUCUUCAGAGCAUCACUGACAGCUGGUUUGGUUGCUGAGAAGAAUAAAAUACUGAGAAGCACUCCCCAUCUUUCAGAUGUUAAAAAAAGAGAUCUUUUUGUAAGCAUGUGACUUUGUCAUUAAGAAUUUGAAGGUAAUUUUAUACUCCUUUGAAUGAUUUAAGUAGUAUCAUAGUUCAUUUCCAAUAUAAUGUUAAAAAAAAAAGAACAAAACAAAAACCCAACAUCCCCACAACAAAACCUAGAAAUGUUUGAUGGAAUGUCUCCACUAAGAAGAAAGAAACAAAUUUUUUCUGUUUCACGUUAUUUGUUUUUAACAGUUUGGAAAAAGCUGGUGACUUAACUUGCGGAUACUCAUGCAUUUCAUAACGCCCAAGGUGAAGAGUGGAGUAGAAGAAAAAUGUUUAGUUUCAUCAGUGUAGAAUUUAUCUUGUGUUUGUCAGUAUGUCUGGAACCAUGGUAGUUUCUUCAUAAGUGUAUUGAUUGCCUUAGCAACAGGAAAAGCAUGCACAAUUUCUUACAAGCCUUUUUCUUGCUUGCUUAAGUGUUCAAGUUCAGGAAGAGCUGCAGUUGUCUUUCUUGAAUGAAAUACAUUUUUGGUCUGCAUUUUUUGUGAGAAAUGAUCAAUUAACCCCAAGACAGCAUAGGUCAUGCCUGGAUUGUUAAACCUAGCAAUUUGAGAAGGGAAGAGCUAAUCCUCUUGUAGUUUAAUCAGAGAGAGUCUGUGCAGAACUAGAUUUGUCUGUCAGGUAUGUCUGAAGCAAGCUGAAGCCAAACCUUAUGCACUGCCAUGGCCCAGGGCUGUUUAACUUUUGUGUUGCUUUUUUGUACUAAGCAGCUUGUUACACUGCUUUGGUGCACUCACCCUACCUGCAGAAAACUGUAAGUACAACUGGUGACCAGAGUGUGCCAAAAGAAAGCUAUCCUGGCAAAAAUGGAGCCAUCCUAAGUAGUGGUAGACAAGAGCAGAGACUUAAUAAAAAUAGAAAUGUUAGCAGUUUACUUAGAUGUCUUUCCUAUAGACUACUUCUACAUGUUUGUUUUCGAUUUUGCUAAAUGCUGAUCUUUUUUUCUGUUACACCAUCUGUCUUGUGAUGAAGGAAGACUCUUCCACACAUAUAUUUGAAUUAUAUAUGUCACCUCAUUGGUAUCUCCCAAGAGACCUAGAAUUG